AUCCAGCUGAUGAGUCCCGAAUAGGACGAAACGCGUGUCCUACAU
rnacentral:hammerhead_ribozyme from 1 species